rnacentral:rRNA from 1 species
CCUACGGGAGGCAGCAGUGGGGAAUUUUGGGCAAUGGCCGAAAGGCUGACCCAGCGACGCCGCGUGUGGGAGGAAGCCCUUCGGGGUGUAAACCACUGUCAGGGGGGACGAAAGAGCGGGACGGGAAUACCGUCUCGCAGUGACGGUACCCCCAAAGGAAGCACCGGCUAACUCUGUGCCAGCAGCCGCGGUAAUACAGAGGGUGCAAGCGUUGUUCGGAAUCACUGGGCGUAAAGCGCGCGCAGGCGGAGAAGCAAGUCGGAAGUGAAAUCCAGCCGCUCAACGGCUGGGCUGCUUCGGAUACUACUUCUCUAGGGACCGGUAGAGGCUGGUAGAAUUGCAGGUGUAGCGGUGGAAUGCGUAGAGAUCUGCAAGAAUACCCGUGGCGAAGGCGGCCAGCUGGGCCGGAUCCGACGCUGAGGCGCGAAAGCGUGGGGAGC